AUUGAACGCUGGCGGCAUGCUUUACACAUGCAAGUCGAACGGCAGCGCGGGCUUCGGCCUGGCGGCGAGUGGCGAACGGGUGAGUAAUGCAUCGGAACGUGCCCAGUAGUGGGGGAUAGCCCGGCGACAGCCGGAUUAAUACCGCAUACGACCUGAGGGUGAAAGCGGGGGACCGAAAGGCCUCGCGCUAUUGGAGCGGCCGAUGUCGGAUUAGCUAGUUGGUGGGGUAAAGGCUUACCAAGGCGACGAUCCGUAGCUGGUCUGAGAGGACGACCAGCCACACUGGGACUGAGACACGGCCCAGACUCCUACGGGAGGCAGCAGUGGGGAAUUUUGGACAAUGGGGGCAACCCUGAUCCAGCCAUGCCGCGUGCGGGAAGAAGGCCUUCGGGUUGUAAACCGCUUUUGUUCGGGAAGAAAAUCUCUGGGCUAAUACCCCGGGGGGAUGACGGUACCGGAAGAAUAAGCACCGGCUAACUACGUG
rnacentral:rRNA from 1 species